rnacentral:misc_RNA from 1 species
AGCUAUAAAACCGAAGUAUAUUGCAUAGUGAAAGGAGAAGACGAAAACAUCCAACAACGUAACAUAGUUGGUACAACAACGUAUAAGCAUAUCCUGAGCCACAUUGCGUUACCCUUAAGCAAUACAAAACUCCAAAUACUUAAUACACACAAGAAAACAACCAUCUCCUUUAUUUAUUUAGUGGCUACUUCUUGUCUAAUAAUGUCUUUAUGCCCAAAACCACAACAACAAUGCCUCCAGCACUCUACAACCCGUGGGGCUUCUCCGAAUCCUCCAGACUUGUUGGUCGGAACCAAGCCUUUUCCUCCUCCACACCAGAGUAAUGGCCACCAUCUGCUGCACGGUUGCCCGCGUCUGCAGCAGGGUUCUCAGUGGCUGGCCCAAAAACCCCGGUUUGUGGAUGAGGAGCCCAGUAUUUAUCUGCAGCUUGAGCCUGAAUCACAUCAUCUGGGACUACACUUGGUCGAACUUGCUCGUCCAGGUUCUUGUCAUACACUGAGGUGUGAGCUGCUCUCCUGAACUUCGGAGCAGAGGAAGAGAUCACAGAGUUGCGAAGUGGAUCGCUGUUCCAGAUCUGGUCAGUGAUUCGUUUCCCCAAGCCGGCGAUCGCUCCUGCGCUCCUCGAAUUAGCGGCCAUACAAUUCAGGCUUAAAGAUAGAGAGGGAGAAAAACGAAAGAACCAGAAAAACUGCGCCUAAGCAGAGAGAGAGAGAUGAAGAAGAAGAAGAAGAAG